rnacentral:rRNA from 1 species
GAUUUCUGGUUUGACGACAAUCUGGCCCGCCAGGUUCGCCUGUGUGUGUGCCGGGUUGCGUCUGCCAUCCUUCUAAGUUGCUGUUGGUCGCCCUUGAUUGGGUGUGCUGAUAGUGGCUUAGAUCGUUGACUUUGAACAAAUUAGAGUGUUUCAGGCAGGCUUUAUUGCUAUGAAUACAUGAGCAUGGAAUCAUCAGAUAGGGCUUCGGCUCUUGUCUGGUUGGUCAACAGAGCUGAGUCAUGAUGGAUAGGGAUAGUUGGGGGUGCUAGUAUUCAACGGCCAGAGGUGAAAUUCUCGGAUUCGUUGAAGACUGACUGAUGCGAAAGCAUU